AACGAACGCUGGCGGCAUGCCUAACACAUGCAAGUCGAACGAGACCUUCGGGUCUAGUGGCGCACGGGUGCGUAACGCGUGGGAACCUGCCCUUAGGUUCGGAAUAACUCCCCGAAAGGGGUGCUAAUACCGGAUAAUGUCUUCAGACCAAAGAUUUAUCGCCUUUGGAUGGGCCCGCGCUGGAUUAGCUAGUUGGUAGGGUAAAAGCCUACCAAGGCGACGAUCCAUAGCUGGUCUGAGAGGAUGAUCAGCCACACUGGGACUGAGACACGGCCCAGACUCCUACGGGAGGCGGCAGUGGGGAAUAUUGGACAAUGGGCGAAAGCCUGAUCCAGCAAUGCCGCGUGAGUGAUGAAGGCCUUAGGGUUGUAAAGCUCUUUUACCCGGGAUGAUAAUGACAGUACCGGGAGAAUAAGCUCCGGCUAACUCCGUG
rnacentral:rRNA from 1 species